GACGAACGCUGGCGGCGUGCUUAACACAUGCAAGUCGAACGGAAAGGCCCUGCUGUUGUGGGGUGCUCGAGUGGCGAACGGGUGAGUAACACGUGAGUAACCUGCCCUUGACUUUGGGAUAACUUCAGGAAACUGGGGCUAAUACCGGAUAUGAGCUCCUGCUGCAUGGUGGGGGUUGGAAAGUUUCGGCGGUUGGGGAUGGACUCGCGGCUUAUCAGCUUGUUGGUGGGGUAGUGGCUUACCAAGGCUUUGACGGGUAGCCGGCCUGAGAGGGUGACCGGCCAAAUUGGGACUGAGAUACGGCCCAGCCUCCUACGGGAGGCAGAAGGGGGGAAUAUUGCACAAUGGGCGGAAGCCGGAUGCAGCACGGCCGCGUGCGGGAUGACGGCCUUCGGGUUGUAAACCGCUUUCGCCUGUGACGAAGCGUGAGUGACGGUAAUGGGUAAAGAAGCACCGGCUAACUACGUG
rnacentral:rRNA from 1 species